rnacentral:sRNA from 1 species
GUACAUUCGCUCCCACGGCAGGAAGUGCCGAAAGUUACGCCUUUGGCAGACAGAUGUGUGAGACCUGCAAGCGAAUGCGUUGGAGCUCAAACUCUGUAAAAUCCC